GAUGAACGCUGGCGGCGUGCCUAAUACAUGCAAGUCGAGCGAACAGACGAGGAGCUUGCUCCUCUGACGUUAGCGGCGGACGGGUGAGUAACACGUGGAUAACCUACCUAUUAGACUGGGAUAACUUCGGGAAACCGGAGCUAAUACCGGAUAAUAUAUUGAACCGCAUGGUUCAAUAGUGAAAGACGGUUUUGCUGUCACUUAUAGAUGGAUCCGCGCCGCAUUAGCUAGUUGGUAAGGUAACGGCUUACCAAGGCGACGAUGCGUAGCCGACCUGAGAGGGUGAUCGACCACACUGGAACUGAGACACGGUCCAGACUCCUACGGGAGGCAGCAGUAGGGAAUCUUCCGCAAUGGGCGAAAGCCUGACGGAGCAACGCCGCGUGAGUGAUGAAGGUCUUCGGAUCGUAAAACUCUGUUAUUAGGGAAGAACAAAUGUGUAAGUAACUAUGCACGUCUUGACGGUACCUAAUCAGAAAGCCACGGCUAACUACGUG
rnacentral:rRNA from 1 species